CUAGAAAAGGUAAACAUUUGUUAAAGUCCUUAAGAGGAGACUUAACUUAUUUGCUACAACUGCAAUAAAAUAGUAGUUUGUGUCAACAUAAAAUCCUUCUUGUAUCUAUCAUAUGAUGUCAUGUGGAACUGCCAACACACAGUUUUUGAUGCACCUGAUGAUGAUGACAGCUAAGGAAGAUUCAAUUGACUGGUGUGAUUGAUAGAUUCAAAUGGCUAAUGACCAAGGAGAAGUGUUGCUGACUAGCUGGCUGAAAAGGGACGGGGAAGAACUUGGAUAUCGAAUUUGAACCAGAUCUCGAAGGAUUCUGAAUGAAAAUGCAAUACAAUGCGACAGCAGAGUCAAUAACUCCAGGCACUGAAACCAGCAAUGUCGUAUACAUACAGAAGGGAAUGGUCACUGCUUAUGUAGAGGAACAACAGCCUGACUAAUUCAUGCAGGAGGUGAAACUGGGGCCCAGGAGGAGACCCCGAGAUUACAAAUAGAAAAUGUGGCCAUUUACCUCACCGUUUACCUGAAGAAAACUUGAAGCGUGAAAGACCUACUUUUGCAUCUUUUAGGAUCUAAGUGGAAUUGGCAUGUUUUAGGAAGUGAGUUCUAUUUCCUAUAUUUCAUUUCAAGGAUUCAUCGUCUUCAAGAGCCAACAAAGGGAUGUAUUUUCCUUAACAUUUUCAUGUAAGAUGAUCCAUAAAGACUCUUUAAAAGUUCAUAUGCUCACCUCGU